GAAAUGCGAUACGUAGUGUGAAUUGCAGAAUUCCGUGAAUCAUCGAAUCCUCGAACGCAUAUUGCGCUUCUGGGUAUUCCUAGAAGCACGCCUGUUUGAGUAUCAGUGUUAAACCUCAAACCCGAAUGUUUUCUUUAAUGUAAGCAUUUCAUGUUUGGACAUGGAUCUUCCACGAAGUUGGUUUUUUUUUAAUCAAGCGUGAGAUCUGAAAUUUAGAGAAUGGCAGGUCCUUAUAUGGAACCAAAAGCUAGAUAAGGGGUACCCUUUGGGUCCUUUAAAAAGCUGAUACAGUUCUAAAGGCCUGAUCCCUCAAACCCAACAAAAUCCGGGCUUAGAAAUGGAACAUGUUUUAAGAAUCCGUGACUUUGAUCUCAAAUCAGGCGAGACUACCCGCUGAACU
rnacentral:misc_RNA from 1 species